UUUCUUUGGAUAGAUACCCAGAAGUGAGGUAAAUGGCUUUUUCUUUUCUAGUGAUAUUGGGAAUGGGGGAAUAGUGAACCCAGGGCCAGUGGGUUCACUAUUCCCUUCAUCCAGGAAUUGGCAAAGGUCAGGAAACAUGCAGCCCACGAUGAUUCUAGAUUUAAAUAUACAUAUAUAAUUUUUUCACUUGCUUUGGCAAUAAUGUAUGAUGCUAAGUGAGCAGUAUAUAGCUACUUAAAAAGGGAAUGUAGAGAUUCUCUUGGAUAAUGGUGAUGUAUAAUAUACACCCCAGAACCUAUUUUCCAGAUUUUAAAUCAUGAUUUAUCGGAUAUCUAACGUUCAGUAUUUUUAAUGACCUAGCUUUCUUUUUAAAAUCAACUUUCAUUAAAUAGUUUCCUUUAAUCUUGUAACAUAUAUGUUACUAUUUUAAAAAUGAGGAUACACAUUCAGUGCUUUAUUUAAAAUAUAAUUAAACAAAUAUUUGCCUUUAUGGCUUUGAGAUAACAUUACGGAGCAAAGGCUUAGGAACUGCUUGUAGCACUGGGUUGGGAUGUGAACAAUUUCAUAUUUGGGAUCAAGACAGGAAACACUGGUGGCAUAGUUCUCUGAAGCCAGGACCUAAUAAGCAAUGGUCUUUAUGGAUGCUAAGGAUCAUGUAAUCACGUAAGUAAUUGCUCAUUUUGAUCCUGAGUACCUGCUUCAAGUUAGAAACUGAAAGGUUUCUUGUAAUUUGUUUUAAGGCUACUUGCCAAAAUGUUUUAAAAUCCUGAUACUUAAAGCCCUUUAAAAACUGGAGAGAAGUGGCUUAAUAGGUAAUGGUUGAGUCUAUUCUUAGCUUUCAAAAUUAGUAUUUAACCUAAGCUCUCAGUGUUUCAGGGUAUCUUGAAGAACAAAUCACACUACCUUGUCACCAUGGCUUGCGUAAAUAUAGCCUUUUAGUAUCAGAGAGGUCAGUAUUCCUCUAAGAGUUCAUCCUGUGCUUGGACUUGUAUGUGAUAUCUCCCUGUGCAUCUGGUCAAGAUUCACCUUUCAUGCUUAGCGUAUCAUAAAUUUGUUCUAAGUGUGUGACUCAUAUGUUCAGGUCAGAAACCAUUGACUUUUAAUUCCAUAGACUUCUGUCAGAGCUGUAUUUUCAUUCCCCUUUUUGAGGAAACAGCUCAACGUAAUCAUUUUUGUUUCAGUUAGAACAAAUGCAUUUCACAGCAGUCAUCAAACAAGUAUACAUCUGGAGGAGCUGCUGACUCUGUCGAGAGUAUAAGCGCUUAUUGAUGAACAUAAAUUUUUCUCUUCCACGGGAUACUCUGUUUCAUGACAUAGGCUUGACUUCUUGAAUUUUUUAAAGAAUUUGUUUUAUGGCCAUGGCAUAUGGAAGUUCCCAGGCCAGGGAAUGAAUUUGAGCUGCUGUGGCAACACCGAAUCCUUUAAUUAACCACCACACUGGGCCAGGAUCAAAACUGCACCUCUGCAGCAACCUGAGCCACUGCAGAUGGAUUCUGAACCCACUGUGCCAAGGUGGGAACUCCUUGAAUUUUUUUUAAGUUUAAUUUUUUAAUGAUGCAAAUUUGCAAGCAAUAAAAAUCAUCCUUUUUGGUAUAACCCAAGGUUACAAGUUAUGUGAGCUUUGGCAAACUCAUACAGCUGUGUAGCCACCUCCACAAUCAUGAAAUAUUUCCAUGACUCAAAAUAUUUCCUGCACCUCUUAGCAGUCAUCCUCCCUGCACACUCAGCCCCGAACAACUGAUCUCUUCUUUCCCCUGUUGUUCCCUUUUCUGAAAUGUUGUAUUAAAGGAGUCAUGUGAUAUAUAUGUAGCCUUUCGAAUUUAGCUUCUUUCACUUAGCUUAAUGCUUUUGAAAUUCAUCCAGAUGGUUGCCUAUAUCAGUAGUUUGUUGCUAUUUAUUGCUGGGUAGUAUUCAGUUGUUUGCCUGUUUGAAAAUAUAUGUUUAACUCUAUUUUAAAAAUUGCCAAGCUAUUUUCCAAAGAAGCAACACCAUUUUGCAUUUCCACCAGCAAUGUAUGACAGUUCCAGUUGUUCUGUAUCCUUGUCAGCACUUAGCAUUGUCAGUUUUUUUAAGUUAGCCAUUCUGAUGGGCAUGUAGUGGUGUUUCACUGUGUUUUAAUUUGUUUCCUAACAAGGGUCGUUCAGAUAAAUUUUUUUUUUUCUUUUUAGGGCCGCACCUGCAGCAUACGGAAGUUCCCAGGCUAGGGGUCAAAUUGGAGCUGCAAAGGCUAGGCUAUACCACAGCCACAGCAAUGUGGGAUCUGAGCUGCGUCUGUGACCUACACCACAGUUUACAGCAACACUGGAUCCUUAACCCACCAAGCAAGGCCGGGGAUUGAACCCACAUUCUCAUGGGGUUGUAAUCCCUGAGGUCAGGUUUAUAACCCACUGAACCACAAGUGGGAACUCCCAGAUAUAUUCUUCCGUAAGGGGUCUGAUCAGAUUGUUGCCAGUUUAAAAAAUACUGAUUUCUUAUUACUGAGUUUGAAAGUUUUUUAUAUAUUCUAGAUAUAAGUACUUUGUUAAAUAUGUUUUGCAAAUAUUUUCUCACAGUCUGUGAUUUUUCUUUUCAUUCUCUAAGCAACAGCUUUGAUCUUCCAGUUUGUUUUUGUGGUUAAGCAGAUUUUACAUAAAAUUUACCAUCUUACCAUUUUUAAGUGAUAUUAAGUACAUUCAUGUUGUUGUGCACAUAUUACCACCAUCCAUUUCCAGAACUCUUUUCAUCUUGAAAAACUGAAGCUUUGUCUCCAUGAAACACUAACUCCCCAUUACCCUCCUCCCAGCCUGUGACAACCACCAUUCUACUUUCUGUUUCUGAUUUUGACUACCCUAGCUUCCUCUAGGUAAGUGGAAUCAUGCAGUAUUUGUCUUUUCAUGACUGACUUAUUUCACUUGAAGUCCUCAAGGUUGAUGCAUUUUUAGCAUGCCAGAAUUUCAGUCCUUUUUAAGGAUGAAUAAUAUUCCAGCAAGAGAGAGAAUAUAUGUAUUGUAUAUCUUCAUAUAUGUGGUCUCUAAAAUAUAGCACAUUUUGGGUAUUUUCUCAUCUGUCAGUGGAUACUUGGGUUGCCUCCAUGUUUUAGCCAUUGUGAAUAAUGCUAGUGUGAAUAUGGGUGUACAGUUAUGUUUCAGUCCCUGCUUUCACUGUGCUGGGUUAUAUACCCAGGAGUGGAGUUGUUGCAUCAUCUGGUAAUUCUGUAUUUAACUUUUUGAGAAGCCGCCAUACUUGCUGUUCCUCAACAGCUAUACCAUUUAACAUUCCCACCAGGUGCCCAAGGGUACCAGUUUCUCCACACCCUCACCAGUAUUUAUUUUUUGUCUUUUGGAUAGUAGCUAUCUUAAUGGGUGGGAGAUGUUGAUGAUGUCAUUUGAAGAGAAGAAAUUAAAGCCUAUUUGUUUACACAUGAAUGUCCAGUUGUUUCUGCAUCAGUUAUUGAAAAGGCCAUCUUGGAGUUCCCUCUAUGGCUCAGCAGGUUAAGAACCCAACUAGUAUCCAUGAGAGUACAGGUUUUAUCUCUGGCCCCACAGGGGGCUGAGGAUCUGGCAUUACCUUGAGCUGCAGUGUAGGUCACAGAUAUGUCUUGGAUAUGGCAUUGCUCUGGCUGUGGCGUAGGCUGGCAAAUGCAGCUCUGAUUCACCCCUAGCCUAGAAACUUCCAUAUGCCAUACCUGUGGCCCUAAAAA
ensembl:lncRNA